rnacentral:rRNA from 1 species
AUGAACGCUAGCUACAGGCUUAACACAUGCAAGUCGAGGGGCAGCAUGGUCUUAGCUUGCUAAGGCCGAUGGCGACCGGCGCACGGGUGAGUAACACGUAUCCAACCUGCCGUCUACUCUUGGACAGCCUUCUGAAAGGAAGAUUAAUACAAGAUGGCAUCAUGAGUCCGCAUGUUCACAUGAUUAAAGGUAUUCCGGUAGACGAUGGGGAUGCGUUCCAUUAGAUAGUAGGCGGGGUAACGGCCCACCUAGUCUUCGAUGGAUAGGGGUUCUGAGAGGAAGGUCCCCCACAUUGGAACUGAGACACGGUCCAAACUCCUACGGGAGGCAGCAGUGAGGAAUAUUGGUCAAUGGGCGCAGGCCUGAACCAGCCAAGUAGCGUGAAGGAUGACUGCCCUAUGGGUUGUAAACUUCUUUUAUAAAGGAAUAAAGUCGGGUAUGUAUACCCGUUUGCAUGUACUUUAUGAAUAAGGAUCGGCUAACUCCGUGCCAGCAGCCGCGGUAAUACGGAGGAUCCGAGCGUUAUCCGGAUUUAUUGGAUUUAAAGGGAGCGUAGAUGGAUGUUUAAGUCAGUUGUGAAAGUUUGCGGCUCAACCGUAAAAUUGCAGUUGAUACUGGAUAUCUUGAGUGCAGUUGAGGCAGGCGGAAUUCGUGGUGUAGCGGUGAAAUGCUUAGAUAUCACGAAGAACUCCGAUUGCGAAGGCAGCCUGCUAAGCUGCAACUGACAUUGAGGCUCGAAAGUGUGGGUAUCAAACAGGAUUAGAUACCCUGGUAGUCCACACGGUAAACGAUGAAUACUCGCUGUUUGCGAUAUACAGCAAGCGGCCAAGCGAAAGCGUUAAGUAUUCCACCUGGGGAGUACGCCGGCAACGGUGAAACUCAAAGGAAUUGACGGGGGCCCGCACAAGCAGUGGAGUAUGUGGUUUAAUUCGACGCAACGCGAAGAACCUUACCAGGUCUUGACAUCCUGCUGACCGGUCAGUAAUGUGACCUUUUCUUCGGAACAGCAGUGACAGGUGGUGCAUGGUUGUCGUCAGCUCGUGCCGUGAGGUGUCGGCUUAAGUGCCAUAACGAGCGCAACCCUUGUUGUCAGUUACUAACAGGUUUCGCUGAGGACUCUGACAAGACUGCCAUCGUAAGAUGUGAGGAAGGUGGGGAUGACGUCAAAUCAGCACGGCCCUUACGUCCGGGGCUACACACGUGUUACAAUGGGGGGUACAGAGGGCCGCUACCACGCGAGUGGAUGCCAAUCCCAAAAACCUCUCUCAGUUCGGACUGGAGUCUGCAACCCGACUCCACGAAGCUGGAUUCGCUAGUAAUCGCGCAUCAGCCACGGCGCGGUGAAUACGUUCCCGGGCCUUGUACACACCGCCCGUCAAGCCAUGGGAGCCGGGGGUACCUGAAGUGCGUAACCGCGAGGAGCGCCCUAGGGUAAAACUGGUGACUGGGGCU